rnacentral:rRNA from 1 species
UACGUAGGGUGCAAGCAUUAAUCGGAAUUAUUGGGCGUAAGGGGCGCGUAGGCGGAGAUGUAAGUCAGAUGUGAAAUCCCGGGGCUCAACCCCGGAACAGCAUUUGAAACUGCGUUUCUAGAGGGUAGGCGGAGAAAACGGAAUUCCACAAGUAGCGGUGAAAUGCGUAGAGAUGUGGAAGAACACCAGUGGCGAAGGCGGUUUUCUAGCUUAUACCUGACGCUAAAGCGCGAAAGCAAGGGGAGCAAACAGG